AUACCUUUCUCGGCCUUUUGGCUAAGAUCAAGUGUAGUAUCUGUUCUUAUCAGUUUAAUAUCUGAUAUGUGGACCAUUGGUUCACACUAUAUUAACUCUACUUUUUGAGGGGAAAGGUCUAUUAGGAUAGCUUGCUAUCUGGGCCUUUGCGCGUCGCCUAAGUGUUGCACUACUGCCCAGGCCUGGCGCACCCCAC